GCUGAGCCUGCGCGUCCGGAGCCUGUGCUCCGCAACGGGCGAGGCCACAACAGUGAGAGGCCCGCGUACCGCAAAAAAAAAAAAACCACCAAAAACUCCAACUGGAAAAUGGGCAACAUCUAUGAAUGGAGAGUGUGCAUAGGAAGCCCUAGUAGCCAACAAACAUAGAAAAUACAUUCAGCCUUUAGUCAAAGAAAUUCCCCCCCCACCAAAAAAAACUGUAAGUAAGUUUUUGCCCAUCUGGCAUUUAUAAGAGCUUGGGGAAAAAAAUCACUCUUAUCCAAACUAGGUGGUUUUGAAGGUAUGUUACAGAAAUCUUUUAAAAUCAUGUUCCUUUUGAUAGUAACUCAACGUCUAGGUGUUUAUCCUAAAAUACCCAGAUACCUACACCUAAGAGCAUUUAUCGUAGUGUAUCAUAAUAAAAGACUGACAAUGACAAAAACGUGCAUCAGUAGAGGGCUGGUUAAAUAAACUAUUACAGUAAUUUCCUGACACAACACAUCUACAACUAUUACAUGGAAAGAUGUCCAAGUGGGAGAAAGUUCCAAAAUAGCGUUUGAUGCAAUCACAUUGGUCCUCUAUUUACACACGUGCGCGUACACACACGCGCGCACACACGCGCUUGGUGUAUGAAUGGGAAAACUCAAGGAAGGAUUAAAACCAAAAUAUUAACAGUGAUUAUUCCCAAAUGGUCGUACUGUGAUUGCUCCUCUUUACGCCUCUGUAUUUUUUAAGUGGGCAUAUUAUAUCUAGUAUUGGAAAAAUAAUAAUAAGGCUAACUUUUAAAAAACCUACAAGACAUAGGCAUAGUCAUUACCCCCAUUGAAUAGAUAACCACACUGAUUUUAAAACUUGCCUAAUUCAGGAUUUGUGGCAGGCCUGUUAAGACUUCCGUCUGCAUUUUACAGAUGAACAGAGUGAGAUGAGAAGGUUAAGCCCCUCGCCCCUGGCAGGCAGCAGGCGGCCAGCUCCAUCGCCUGGAAGACAGGGCAGCCUCCGCCUCCCUCUGCAGCCAGGAGGCCUGGAAGGACCCUAGGUGCCGGGCAGUGCCUGGGAACCCGCCAAAGGGCACCCAACUGCCAGGGCAGGGUGUAAACCUAGGCGUCCUCCUCCCCCAAGCUCACCACGCGCUUCUGCACUGUUGCCUGCACACGUGUUAUACGAAACACAAGAUUAAAGCCACAGUUUGGGUUUCACAGCCCAGAUAAGGGGAACCCAUACUGGAACUGCACACGAGAAAAAAAGCAGCUCAGACGCUGUUCCUGCCCAUUUCGGAACGUGGCCCUCGGCACACGGGGCGGGCCUGCUCCCACCCAGAGCUCUGACUCAGGCUGGGGUCCCCCUUCUCCCUCCACACACACUGACUCAUCUUCUGAGGUGGCAAGAAACCACCACCUUGUACGUGCAAGCGCUAGGGGAGCCCGACGCCGGAAGGCCCACUCUGGGGGAGCGAGUCUGCACGAUGCUGGGCGAGGUCCGCGCGAGAAGCCCACGACUCGCUGGGGCAGUGACGCCAAAUGGCAGGGGGCCACCCACAGACGGAUGGCAUGUCUUUCUUUUUUCUUUAAUGGAAAAGAAAACCCAAACAGAGGGCGCGCCUCACCUAUUCAGGGGCUGGCGGCCUCGCCCACUCCCACCCCCGGUGGCUUUUCAGGCAGCAAAGGCCGGGCAAGCUAACGGGCUUCUGAGCCAGGGCCUUUUCCCUGGGAACUUCCUGCUGACUUCAAGCCUUAAGUUUAAUUCCGGUAAUGGACUAAGGAUAAAUUAGCAUUCACAUAGCUCCAGCCAAUGCAAAUCUGCUAAAACCUGGCCUACCAGUAUUACCUGUGAGGCCUGAUGGAUUUUAAGAGAAAGAGAAUCAGGAAGAAAAAAAACGACAUCAAGAAUGAAAAACCACCAUUUUAGUUCUGUCCCACAGGGCUACCGAGUGAAGUCUUAGCCUUUUGCCUGCCUUGAAGAGAGUAAAUGUCUAUUUCUACCAGCUGGGCUGCCGCCGACACACACACCGUGUCACUCAGAACCGAGGUGCCAUGUCAUCUGCCCGUCUGGGGAACGGACAGGUGACCCUGGGUGCCCAGGCUGCAGGGCGUCCGUCCGCCACUGAGUGAAUUAUUCUACGUGGUCCAGCACAAGAGGGUGAGGAGGAGGAGGAAGGAACAAGAUGGGACAGCACGGACAGGCCCAGGUGUCCACAACGCAGCUCAGCCGCCCAGAGCGGCCACCCCGGUGGGAGAGGGACAAACUCCAGGGUUCCCACAUCUGACCCUCAUGGGAACGGCCGCCCGUCCCUGCCUGAAGGGUGACUUCGGGGGGUGACGGCCGGGUGUUUUGAAGUCACUACACGAGAAGAACUAUCUCGGGCCGACCGAGGCAGCAGGACUCAACCCUUCAGAAGUUUGGCUUGGACCCCAGAGGGGGGACACUCCAAAGCAGCUCCUUCUAAUCAACUGUCAAACCAAACACUGCUGAGAUCGUCACCAGGAGUGAUUUGACAUUUCUUCCUGUUUAACCUACUAUCUUUUAAAAUCAUUUUACCCAAGACGAGGCUCAGCCCUUCCUCAUUCCUUGCCUCAGCUCCGCUUCCCUUGCUCUGAGCGCGUUCCUCACCCUCUCUGUGAGCUGUCCCUCACUUCCUCCCUGAAAACAGGAAAUCCUGCAGACAGACCUCCUGGGCCAACGAGCCCGCCUUACUGAACGUCUCCCCACGGCUCUGCUGUUGCUGUUUGCUCAACGAGAGGAAUGCGAUAAUAACCCAACACCUUCCCCAACUGACCUCUCCGCUUGUGAUGUUUCUACCGCACUGUGUCUGCAUCCACUGCCGGGGUCCAUUCUACCUUGUGUUUUGGCAGUUCGCAGGCCAAGAUCUCUGUCUCCCCACAGCCCUGAGGCUGACUCGCGUCGCCACCCCAGCACGUUGCUGGGCCUGGCAGGUCGUCGAUGCCGGGUGAGCGCUCGCUGAAACUGGACCGUCAUUCAGCAUCUGUAUCGAUGUCCGUGAUCCCACUGACAAGCCUGUAUCUGAACAAGUGCACUGCAUUCAUUUGCCCAACCAGGGUUAAGAAUUCUAUAAAGUGGCCUAUCACUGGCUCCAUUUCAUAGACAGAGUGGGUUGAAAUUAAUGAUUAGGGUCCCACAGCUAGAAGGAAGGCAAGCUGGGCCUUGAAGCAAAAGCCUGCAGGAUUCGGAGGCUCCACAUCUUCAGUGACAGCGCAGCCCCCAGAGUCAGCCAGGAGCAAAGGGGACUCAGCUGUGCAGCCAGCUGGGGGUGCUGCGUCUGCCCUGGGAACCUGCAUCUUCAGGGCCCUGAAGGCCCACGACCUGGAGGCCUGGGCAGCCCCUAACUGAGACACUUAACACACACAUAAAAGUGGUCCUAGCGCUUCUAGCCAUUUUAAAGCUAUUUCUUUAAACUAGGUGGCAUGUACACAGACGUUCUUUAUAUGGCUUGUAAGUUUUUACUUGUUUGAAAACAAGAUCGUCUCAUGAUUUAGAAAAUAAAAACAAGCAGCACAGACAAGAGCCCCUUCCAACUUAGCAUAAGGGACUUCCUGGACCUGAUAAAGAUCAUCUAAUAAAAACCUCCUGAAAACAUCACUCACACAGCAAAGCAUUUCUUCUGAGAACAGAACGAAACAACGAGGCCUGGAAUCACUACUUGAACAGAUCUGAGCAAGGGCGGUAACAGAAGAAAAAAAUAUAUGCAAUGUGACUGGAAAUGAAGACACAAAACUGCCACACACAGACGACAUGACCACCUACAUAGAGUUAAGACGGAAUCCACAGAUGCUGUUAGAACUAAAAAGAACUCAACAGGCUUGCUGGAAACAAGAUUCCAGAAAUCCAUUGCAUCCCUGUAUGUGUGCAACUACUAAUUAGGAAAGUUAAGUUACCAAGACGCCAUUUACAAACAACAACAUCAAACUGUUAAGGUACGAAAGAGGCACAGGUAUAAAACUGACUUGAAAGACAGCUCCGUGAAGCAGCACUGGCCUCGCGGUUAAGUACCCGUUCCACUCAGAGCCCUGCGGCACACGCCACAGCCGCCUUAAAGAUGCCGGAAGCGUGCACUCGCUCAGAGGAAAAGGAAACCAGAUUCUGGGUGGCUGGCUCAUGUUCGAACACAGGUGCACUGUGUAACCCUCUACGAAUAAUUCUGCUGAGCACAAUAAGGCUAUUCCCAGGAAUACCUUCCAGGGCCUGGACCACUGGCACCUCACAUUUUCUGGAACGCUCAUGACACCUCUGCAAGGCAGGGAUUAUCACCACUUUGCAGAAGAGGCUGAGAUUGACAGGUGAGGUGACCUGCCCGAGGUCACACAGCCGGCAGCCCAGGCGGGACCUGGACUCCUCCAGCCAUCCUGGCUGGGUGGGGACCGGGGCGGGGGGCGUCUGGAAGGGUGAGGAGUUGUUAGCUGCUACGGCGUGGGCUGAGGUGGAGCUGAGCACACGGGGUCAGUGCUGCCCACACGCUGUCACGGAGGAAUCCUUGGCAUUCGAUGGCCGCCUCCAACAACACAGCCAACUGUGUUGCCGUGCUGCUUGCGUUUCAAGUUUUUUGGAAGGACGACACAUUAGCGGUUUUAAAACUGCCCCAACCCUUCAACAUUGACAGACGGGGUCCACGUCCCCUUCCCUUGAGUCCGGACAGGCUUGUGACGGCUUGGACCAGCAGUGGGGGGGUGCGAAGGGGAAAUGACACCAGGGACUUGUGAGCUGAGUCACAACGACCAGGCACUUCCACCCCCUCUCUGGAAACGUCUGCUCUCCAGACACGUCCUCCUGACACACUUCCUCGGGGAACCCAGCCUGGGCCACGUGAGAGGCCCCCGCGGGCAGCCCAGCUGAGGCCGGCCUUCGUGUCGCCCCAGCCCAGGUGCCAGACGUGAGUGGAGACGUCCCCAGAUGGUUCCAGCCCGGAGCCACGGCCUCGGGGGGCAGAGACACCGCAGCCUCCGUGCCCGGUCCAGACCCCUACCCAGCGAGUCCACGGGCAGCAACAGGCAACAGGCACAAACACCAAUUUCUGAGCGGUGCCACCCCCGCUACUCAGUCCUGUCGCGGUAAACAGGCAACGUGAGCAUCUUCAAAGAAACACACGUGGGGCUGAGGCAGGUUCCGAGGGGGGUCCUUUGUCGGUCGUGUUCCCAUUCAAGGAAGCGGGGAUGCUGGUCAACGGCACAAGUCUGGGCUCCGGGUGCCCCGAGCCCAGUCGGCCCGACACCAGGAGGGGCGGAGGCAGCAGGCCUUGCGAUGACUGAGAGCUGGGCAAGGACGUCUCUGAGGGCAGAGGGCAAACCACAAAGUCGGUCAGCUCAGAGAAAGAGGGUCCUCCUGGGAUCCAGGACUGUGCAACGCUGGUCUGACCGGAGCCCCGUGGGGGACAGAAAAAAUCUGCUCAUCGGGCCCCGGUCCCUUGUGACCGCCAGCCUCCAGGGACCCCUCCGCACACUCCCACGGCCCAGUCCCGUCCACACCUGUCCACCUCCUUCCGGGCCCCCUGCCCCCGAGCUCCGCUCUUCGCAGGGGGCACAACAGCCAUCUGGAGGGCGCUCCGGAGGCCCACCGGCCGCCGCCCGUGGCAGACCAGGGGCCAAAACCAGGGCCAGCGCUCCCGCCACCCCUCCUCCUCUCGGCGCCCCGGUUCUCCCUCGGCCCGCUCGCUCCCAGCAGCACACACGCAGCUGCCGUGACUCCCGUCUUAAACAAGACAGAGAAAAGAUCUUCUAAGACACUGGAGAGAAAAACACAGAUCAGCUAUAAAGCAACCACAGACAGCCCACUUCGACAGCAACAACGUACGGCCAAAAAAGAGGAAGAAUAUCAACUAGCUAAAAGAGGGUAACUCUCAACCUAUAAACGUGCACUCAGAAACUUUCCCUGAAGAAUGAGAGCAAAGAUGUCCUCAGAGAGCGAGCCCUCAACAGACUGGAGAACAAAGCAAUCUUGGGCUCCCACCUCCCCCUCAACUACCCACCAGCCGGUUGCACCUACUCCUUCUCCCAAUUCUCCCCAGUCAGGCCUGUGCCCCCGGCAGCCCGCUUGCCCCGGACAGUCCAUCGCUCCUCUUGCAUCAAGUCUCUGCUUCCUCCAGCUUCCCUUCCCGCCUCCCCAGCUGUCCCUCCUCUGUCCCCGGCCAGUUCCGCCCACCUUCCCCUCCCUGCCCUCUCAGCCCUGCGCACCAGCUCUGCCCCACACGUCCAGCCAUAGCACACCCCCGUGAUCACGCCUGGCCGCGCUGCCAGCCCCCUGACCUCCGCUGGGCUCUCCUCUGGCUCGCGUGUCCCACGAGCCCCCUGCUGCCCUCUCAACACCUCCGCGGGGACGCCCAACGGACACCCCGGGUCUGACGCAUGCCAGCCCACCCCACCCUCCCCAGGGCCCCCUGCUGGCCCCCCCAACCCCCCCGCACCGGCUGCUCCUCCGGCUCCUCUGAACCCGCGUAACAGGGUCACCAAGACCCUGCAUCAUUCACACCUCCCACGCCGGUGUCCUCAGCUCAGGCCGAAGUGCUGGUGUCAGCCGACCCUGUCCCUCAAGUCUCACACCUAGCUCGCGACCGGAUCCGACUGCCCCCACCACCUUUCAACACCUGGACCGUGCAGACUCCUUCAGCUCCACCAUCUCCACCGUGGGCACACAGGUCCAAGCCGUCAUAUCUCCUGGUGGGUGACCCCACAAUUCCUAACGGGUCCCCUCUGUGUCCACACAGCAGCCAGAGACUGGAGGGCAAAUGACGUCACUGUUCAAACCCCCGGCGGCCCCCUAUCUCAAUCAGAGUAACAGCCGGAGCCCUGCCACUGCCCCGGCCUCUCUCGCAUCUCCUGCUGCUCCCCUCUUUGCCCGACAGGCUCCCACCCCAGGGCCUUUGCACCUGCCACUUCUGCUCGAAACCCGCUCUCCUCAGAGAUCCAUGUGGCUUGCUCGCUUGCUUCCCUCUCUCAGGCCUUUGCUUACGUGUCACCUUCUUAGAAGAGACCACUGCCGACCGCCUGGUUAAAAACAGCAUCUGCCCUUCCGCCACCUCCUGCUCCAUCUGCCUCCAUAGCAUCUGCCGCCUGGCAUGUUCCGCAUCGAGUCCUCCCCGCACCAGGCAAACCCGACGAGGGCAGCGUGCACUGCUCCACCCCAGCAGUCAGAGCAACACCUGGCAAAGAGCACGCUGCCGGAUGUGAGCGGCUGUGAUGAAUGAGCUCAGGUGCACGGCCUGCCAUCAACUUUCCACAACGACAUGGGCUUUCAAAGGAGUUUGUGUGUUUCUGCUGAUCACUCUUCCAGGACCCUGCCCUCCGGGCGAGGGGGGGAAGGAGCGGGGGGAAUGAGACGCAGCAGGGAGCAGCGCUGAAGGCGCCAGCUGUCCAGGCCCAUGAGGGGACCAGCCAAGGUGGCAAAGCUGUCCAGCCAGCCUGCAGUGGCCCAGGCGCACCCAGCGGGCCUGGAGGCUCAGGCCAAGGGGAGAUGCUGCUUGAAGCCAGAGCUUGGGGGAGCACCAGGCAGAUGAUACAAUGGAAAACAUUCCUAAAACUGAAAUAUUAUUCAGCCAUAAAGAGGAAUGAAGUACUGACACCUGCUACAACCUGGAUGAACCUUGAGAACACCGUUAGCCGAAAGAAGCCAAAUACAAAAGCCCACCUCUCAUAUAAUUCCAUUCAUACGAAACAUCCAGAACAGGCAGAUACACUGAGACAGAAAGCAGGGGAGCGGAUGCCAGCAGGUGGGAGAAUGCAGAACGGAGAGGGACAGCUGUGGGUACAGGGUUUCUCUGCAGGUGAUGAAAAAGUUCUGGAACCAGGUAAGAGGUGGUGGUUUGCAAACACUGUGAAUGUGCUUAAUGUCCUGAAUAUUGUCCUUCAAAAUGGUAAAUCUGAUGUCAUAUGUACUUUAUGCACCUACCUACAUAUAUACAAAUAUAUACACAUAUAGACACACACACAUACGCCAUACUUCACGGACGUGUCUUCUCGGCACUGAGCCCCCGAGCCCCGUGGAGAGGAAUUGGGGCCUUCCUCCGGGGUCUUCGGUGGAGCACACACUCACUGCGUGAACUACCAGCACCGGCAGAUUCUUCAGCUCUCCAGCAACAACCCAUGAAAAUACUGUGGUAAACAGGGAGAGCAGCCCGCGCUCUGUGACCACCUAGAGGGGUGGGAUAGGGAGGGAGGGAGGGAGGCGCCAGGGGGAGGAGAGAUGGGGAUAUGUGUAUACGUAUAGCUGAUUCACUUUGUGAUACAGCAGAAACUCACACACCCUUGUGAAGCAAUUAUACUCCACUGAAGAUGUUAAAAAAUAAAAUAAAAUAAAAAUGCAGUGGUAAUUUGGGGCUUUGUGAGCUGUAUCUUGAGAAAAUAAAGCUGUUGUGUUUUUUUGAGUAUUAGUGUCAUACAAGACAGAGAUAACCAAUCAGAACAAGGGAUUUUACACGUUUCUUGGACAACACUGACCCACUGCCUCUGUUCUCACUCAGCCGUGCCCGCUGGUAGGCCCGCCACUCCCCAGUGCUACACCACCAGCUCCUGGGCCCACCGGCCGUAUCCCCUUUCGUCCUCAUCUCCACAGCUGUCAGUGGAGACCCCAGCAGACGGCCUCCCUCCCCCACCUUGGGAGUUGCUCAGGUCCGGCAGGUUGCCCGCGGGCCGGGCGGACACAGCACAGGCGGAGGGAAGGUCAUGGCCAGUGGCAUAUAGCGUGUCAUUUGGAAACCUCAGCCGAGCAGAGCUGCUUGCAGCUACCCAAGCGGGCACGGGUGCCAGGAAAACCACCAAGCCCCGCACUCUCGGCCAGCAGAGCUUCUGUGCUUUGGGGCCAGCGAUCUACCAGACCUAAGAAACGCCAGGAGCACUAAAUGCUAAAGGGGCUAGAUGGACGCAGUAAGGGCGGGCUUCUCUGCCAGGUUUUUGCUCUCCCAUCGCUCCAAAGAGCGACACCAGGGUCACCUGCUGGGUCACAGAACAGAGUGCGCUUGACGUCCGCACGCCUAAAGGGGCACUUGGCAGCGGCCACAAGGAGCCUCCCCCCACGCAGGACCAGCACGGCAGGGAGCCCCGUCCGCUGCCAGGUCUGCCCGUCCACCUGCCACCCGUCCAUCCGUGCUCAGGGCUCCUCCGCCCACCCGGCGCCUCCCACCGCACCGGGACCCCCUGCGGGUUCCACCCCCACCAGCUCCAGGCACUGACCCCCACCAGACCCUAGUAACCGUGUGCUGGCUCGACGGGCCGCGAGCGCCCUGAUGGGCUGGCUGCUCACGGACAACCCGAGGGAAGGAGACAGACGCUGGGGAACAGCCGAGUGCCCGUGGGCCGUGGGGGAACACCAAGGCAUGCUGACUGAGCUACUCGGCAGGGUUUCACCGGAAAGCCGUUCUGAGCAGAUCCCGGGAAGAAGGAGUUUCCACCCGCAGGAAAGGGGGCCGGGGCCCACGCGGCCAGAAGUGCGGGGCAGGGGGGCGGGCGAGGACCCGGUCCUGACCCGCUCCAGGGUUCAGAACGCGUUCUAUAAAUAGCUGGCAACCUUUGAUUGUGUCCAAGCGGGCAGUGUGGCCACAGCAGGGCCCCGGCCGCAGCCCCGCAGGACCGUGCUGUGCUCAGGCCUCGGCACGCAGGUUCUUCCUCGGCUGCACGCUCCCGCUCCGGCAGGAACCUGCUGUCCAGAGUCCUGCCCUAACCCAGCGCGGCAUACAUUCUACCCACCGAUUGUUUGUCCAUCCCCCCCCCCCGUCCCCCCCAGAUCCUAAGCUCCCUGAGAGCAGGAGUCAUCUGCUUUGGUCCAGUUUCUCGUUAGCAUCUAGGACAGGGCCCAGCACCAGAGCAGUGCUCCAUACGCGGAAGGGAGGCAGGUACAGUGACGGCAGUCAGGAGUGCAGAGGGCGGCGGGGGACACGGCACUGGCCCUGAUCAUAGAUGGGGCUUCUGUCCCUGUCCCUGGGCCAGGGCCGUGACAAGACAGCAGGUAAGGCAGCACAACUCUUUACCAACAAUUUUUCACACACGGCGAAGUGACUGCCUGCUCGUUAGGAAUCAAUUAGAACACCUUCCUCUAUGUAGGUCACACCAUUCACUCAUAUUUUUUCUAGAGCAGGUCAGAAGCUACGAGCAAAAGCCCCUAAAAAGCACUCGAAGAUGCAGCCAAGCGAUGGUGCUUCACACAAGCACCCCGGCAACAAAUCUCCAAGAGGGCCCUAGGCUGUUUCCUGGGGAGGGAGGGGGGAUACACUUUAUUUUCAAAUACAGUGGUGAUAAAGAACAAGCAGGACAGGUGGCAGGCAAGGGGGGAGGGUCUUUCUCUAGGCCCACAGAAAUGUUUUAAACUCCUUCUGGAUGCCAGCCAGGAAUGGAAGCACUUCCAGACUGAUAACCUCAGAAGAAAAUCCCAACUCAACGUGUGCUCAGAUUAUCGGAAAAUUCCAUCAGCACCUGCUGGCGAAGACAGAGGCUUUCUUAACAGGACAACUUUUAUAAACACCUCACAAAAAGCACAAAUAGAAUUCAGCAAACUAAAGACACCCCUCACUUAAGUUGCCUAUUUUCAAAAAGAGCUCUGAGACCUAAGGGAGAGCCACACUCCUUCACCAAGAACCCAAAAGAAAGCACUGACCCCAUUUCCUUCUGCAGCAGAGACGAGGGUCCCUUUUCCGUCCCACAGUCAAUCCUUCGGCUUCCCACCUACACCUGCUCCAAGGAACAGGCCAUCCAGGUCUGUUCCAGCCCCAAACCCCUCCUGCAGUCCCAGAUGGGCCACACAAACAAGAAUUCAAACUCCAAAUCGGACUGUCUUCUUGGGUAGUUAUAAAUAAAUAAAUAAAUAAAUAACAUGCUUGUAAAUCAUGAUACAAUUUAAUUAAAGUGGAACAUCUCUCUAACACACCGUGGAAUUAAGUAUUCACACACAGAUCGUUCGGUAGAUUGAAACAGAACAGAACUCAGGAUUCUCCUGAUUCAGCAGUUCUCCACGAGUGGUCCUAGGAACUCCUGGGGGGUCCUAAGACCCUUUGAGGGGAUUCCCAAGGUCAAAACUAUGUUCAUCUAAUACUGAGAUGUCAUUUGCCCUUUCUGUGCUGACAAGUGCACUGAUGGUUCAAAGGCAGGUAAAACUGCAGGUGCCUCAGCACCAACCAAGGCAGCGGUGCCCAUCUGUGCUCUUACCGGGCCCAUCACCAGAAUGGGGAAAGCCCAGUUUACCUAGAAAUGUCCUUAACAAAGCAGUAGAAUGCAUUCAUGAAACACUGACUCUCAGGCCUUCUCACCAUCUGUGUGAGAAGCAGGAAACGUUCGUAUCCCGAGGUACGAUGGAAUGCCGAGGAAGAGGGAUUGUGUCAGUGGGCGCUGUGAGCUGACCUCCUUUUUCAACGGAGGCUGGAGCUGGGAGUGAGGCAGACACCGUCCCAAAACUGAACCAAGUGGGCUUUGCCCCUCCAAGAACACGGCUGCCAGGAUCUGCUGCGAUGAUAAAACUCAAGCUUUAACGUGACAAUUAGAAUUGUGGAAAACGUGUACCCGCCGCCACGAGCUUAAAGCCUCCAAAUACUUAGACUUGUGGCGAGAGCAGCAGUGAUGUGAUGUCCCCGAGUGUGACUCUUCCCUGUGUUUGAAAGACCUGAAAACUCUGCAAACCAAUGUCCUCCGAAGACGACGCGGGACGUCACAAAGUCACCUGGCUACAGAUGGAUUCACGCCGCAGCGGGUGCGGUUCUGGACCCUGCACGGCAACUAGCUUGUAAGAAACUACGACUUGUUGCGUUCUGGUGUGGUGGCAAAGAAGAACAUCCACGACCUGCAAAGGCCUCUACUACUGCUCCCUUUCAGCCACAGACCAGCGUGAGGCCAGAGUUUCUUCGCAUACUUCAACCAAAACGCCAUAUCCCAGCAGACUGGAUGCAGAAACCAACUGCUGCUUUUAUUAAGCCAAACCCAAAGGAGAGUUACAAAAAUGGGAAACACCACUCUUCUCAUUACAUCGUUUUUAGUUUUAAACAAUUCUUUCAUAAGAAUGUGAUAUAUUGAUACACAUCAGAUUUCUUGUCAGUACAUUAAAUAUUCAUCAUUACAGCACAUUGAGUAUUUUUUAGCCCCCUCAAUUUUAAGAUCUUAUACAGCGUAUAACCCACAUAAACAAAGGGUCUGUGGGGACCUUGGUAAUUUGAGAAUAUAAAGAGGUCCUGACACAAAAAGGUUCUGGAACCACUGCCUGACUUUAUCACCUUAUGGGUGUGGCUGUGGCCAUCCAGAGUGGUUCCGCCCUGCAUUUCUCCAGGAAUAAGGGCAAGGGUGGCAAAUGUCAGUGACCCAAAGGAAACUCUGACUAGGAAAGGAGGUACUGCAGACAUUUCUGAUCCGGUUCCCAACAGAUAGGAACAGCAACAAGAGGAGCUGGGCGGUCUGACCAUCCCCGGUGGCUGUGCUCUCUUGCCACCGUCUGGUGGCUCGCCUGACCAGUCGACCAGAGACGGCUUCACCACCAGUGCUGUGUCUUGCUGGUAUGAGAGGUGAGCAGUUAAAGACUGCACUCCACAGCCACUCUCUCUAGGAAACUACCCACCAAAACGGGAAACGGACAUAUACAGAACAUGUCACCAGAAUAAACACAAAGUCAAUCACUAGUAAACACGGCAGUAGCCCACACUUGUUCCAAAGGAACAGAAAUGAUCCACAGCAGACCUCAAUGGUUAAGUGAUUUACAACUGUCUUUGCAUUAACAGAGUGAGUUUUCUCCUAACACCCACAGCCAGGGAUGGGGAGGAAGGUGGGCACACAAAGUCUGCGUAAGUACUGAGCUCCCAGGACCCUGUAAUACAGGGACGAGUGCACCGCGCACCUUCUGUGCACGUCUGGCAGAUCCUCACUUCACCUCCAAGUGCAUCCAGUUACUUCAGUUUAAACAACUACUUGUCAAGCGCUCAAAUCAGAGACAGCAAACAUCAUUCAUUUCAAAAUACAUAAAAUUUCACCAGGGACAAGAUCUGAGCCGACAGGAGCUCUUCCCCACUUUCAGUGAGCAAACAGCAUCAUGAACGGCCACCAUGCUGGGGGGUCACCGACUGGUAGCGGCUCCUCACCAGCCCUGGGAUCUCCACAGGCUACAAAACUGCGGAGGAGAGGGGAAAUCACCUGAGGACUCUCGAAGUCCACAGCAUGCUGUCCUUUGCCUAUUUCCCAGCUUAACCUUAAAAAAAAAAAAAAGCAACAACCACCCACACCUCCUCCCCCAUCUCCCCCACUGCUGCACUAACACGCCACGAGAUGGAACCGCUCUCGAGGUGGCGACACGCUGCGAUUACACAGACUAAGGGGUGAUGGUGACGGCGCUCUCACAAGCCAAGGGGAGCAGCGUAAACAGGGCCACGGAGCACCCACACAGCCGCGGCUCCCCGGGCCACCUCCCCACGUGCAGCCCGUUGCAUUCUGAUGUAAAAAGGGGGAAAAUGGUCCAGGGAUCCCGGCGCUGGGCUCUAACAAGGCCCUCCACCGUAUCCCCCACCUGGUCAGCACCCUUCACAAAAGCAUGUGAAAACGGUCGGACGUCAGUGAGCGGUAAGAAAAAUGCCUGGGACGUCAGCAAAGGACGGUUAAUGGAAAUGCCCUCCUGGGGCAAACUGGGGGGCACCAAGGCCCGAAACAGACUCAGAGAGCCGUGGUUUAAAGAAAGCAAAAGUAAAACUCAGUCAGUACUCACUAAUUCAAAACAGCAUCCCUCCCCCCACCAAAAUCAACUGGAUGUUCCUUAAUCAAAACACUGUAAAAUCCAAACCCACUUAAGCUAAGUCAAUUUUCCCCUUUUAUUUCAUAAUGAAGUUUGUGCUACUACAAAGAACGCCAUUACAAAGUCCUGUACAUUUGCAUAAUAAUGGCAAAGCCACGCAGCUACCCCCCUGUGCGUUCAUCAACCCCAGCAAGUUUCACCCACUUGUCUGGGCACUGGAGGUCAAGGUUCUAGGACCGCAGGUAGCUGCCCGGGUCCAAAUCGGGGAUCCAGCACUUCCCGCUGUGUGCCCUGCACUCUGUGCUCAGCUUCCUCACUUCCAUAACGGGGGGGUGUGACAGGUCCCGCUAAGGUCAAGCCCGAAUACGAAAAGCACCCUCCGAAAACUUAAAAGCUUUUGCACAGCAAAGGAAAACAUAAACAAGACGAAAAGACAACUCUCAGAGUGGGAGAAAAUAUUUGCAAACGAAGCAACUGACAAAGGAUUCAUCUCCAAAAUUUACAAGCAGCUCAUGCAGCUCAGUAUCAAAAAAACAAAACUCAAUCCAAACAUGGGCAGAAGACCUAAACAGACAUUUCUCCAAAGAUAUGCAGAUUGCCUACAAACACAUGAAAGGAUGCUCAACAUCACUAAUCAUUAGGGAAAUGCCAAUCAAAACUACAAUAAGGUAUCACCUCACACCAGUCAGAAUGGCCAUCAUCAAAAAAUCUACAGACAAUAAAUGCUGGAGAGGGUGUGGAGAAAAGGGAACCCUCUUGCACUGCUGGCGGGAAUGUAAAUUGAUACAGCCACUGUGGGGAACAGUGUUGAGGUUCCUUAAAAAACGAAAAAUAGAACUACCAAAUGACCCAGAAAUCCCAGUACUGGGCAUAUACCCUGAAAAAACCAUAAUUCAAAAAGAGUCAUGUACCACAAUGUUCAUUGCACCUCUAUUUACUAUAGCCAGGACAUGGAAGCAACCUAAGUGUCCAUCGACAGAUGAAUGGCUAAAGAAGAUGUGGCACAUAUAUACAAUGGGAUAUUACUCAGCCAUAUAAAGAAAUGAAAUUGAGUUAUUUGUAGUGAGGUGGAUGGACCUAGAGUCUGUCAUACAGAGUGAAGUAAGUCAGAAAGAGAAAAACAAAUACCGUAUGCUAACACGUACAGAUGGAAUCUAAAAAAAAAAAAAAAAAACAGGUUAUGAAGAACCAUUGCAGGACAGGAACAAAAGACGUAGAUGUAGAGAAUGGACUUGAGGACACAGGGAGGGGGAAGGGUAAGCUGGGAGGAAGUGAGAGAGUGGCAUGGACAUAUACACACUACCAUAGCACAGGGAGGGAGAUCAGCUCGGUGCUUUGUGACCACCUAGAGGGGUGGGAUAGGGAGGGUGGGAGGGAGACGCAAGGGGGAGGGGAUAUGAGGAUGUAUGUAUACGUAUAGCUGAUUCACUUUGUUAUACAGCAGAGACUAACACACCACUGUAAAGCAAUUAUACUCCAAUAACGAUGUUAAAAAAAAAAAAAGAAAGAAAGAAAAGCACCCUCCGAGUGGCACGCAGCCAGCAGGACGCCCACUGAGCUGCUCCUGCCAUCACUGAACUGACCUCCUGCACCGUGCAGUCUUCAUACACCUGCCAGCUGAAGUCACUUCCCGAGUCUCAAACUUCACGUGUGUGAUUCUCACUAAUGCCCUCCUCACACACGGACCUGUGGCCACUCCCUGUAGGUCACUGCCAUUCACUCAUUCAUUGCUUUCAGCACAGUCCACAAUUAACUGCUUCCUAAGUCCUGUAAUCAUGCUGUAAAUAGCACUUUUAGCUGUAAGGAUACAGGUAUUGAUUGGCUAAAUGCAAACAUUUAAAACAAACCACUUUUAAAGUAAGCAAAAAAUGGGACUUCCCUGGCGGUCCAGUGGGUAGGACUCCGCGUUCUCAAUGCAGGGGGCCCGCGUUCGAUCCCUGGUCAGGGAACAACCCAGGUUAGAUCACCCAGCAUGCCGCAACUAAGAAGUCCGUGUGCCACAACAAAGAUCCCGUGUGCCGCAACAAAGACCCAGAGCAGCCAAAAUAAAUAAAUAAAUAUUUAAAAAUAAAAUAAAAUAAGCAAAAAUGUAAUAAAGUGGAUGGAGACAGGGCGCCACGCAGGACUCAGGUCCUCCUGGCCCAGGAGCAGCCAACCAGGGGUCAGCCGCCACCAGCUGCCUACACCUGCUCUUAGGCUCCAGGGCCCACAGGUGGCCAUUCGCUGCUGCCCUGGCCCCAGGGAGUCUGCCGAGCGCACGGCCCAGCUUUCACCACGCUGAAACAGCCGUCUGAGCCGGUGGCAGAGACAAAGCCAAAGAGCCGAAAUGAAGAGGGGGCCUCUCCACUAGUGGAUCAACAGCCGAUAUUUUAGGGACAGAAUAAAAGGGCACCACAUAUCAGGUCAGAAAUAGUAGUUUCUGUGGACUGUGGCAUGCUUUGGGGAGAUAAACGCAAGUUAAAUGAAACUUUAACACGCUCAGAGUGGGUUUGCUACUUUAAAAAGCUGGACCAGCUUCUUGGAAGUGUCAGUUUUCCAGCUCUCCACACAGCUUUGUUACACGCAGAGACGUUCCCCUUCCGGGCACCACAUACAUAUCCCAUCCACGCAGUUGACUGUUUCAAAUUAAAACACACUAUUGAGUUACAGCACUAACGGGUCUGCUUUGUUUCUUCUGGGGCUUUGUUUAGAAAUAACCUUGACAAUGUCCAAGCAAACAACUUGGACCAAAGACCAGAACGGUCACUUAGAAGAAAAAGAAAAAGCUGUUCCCAUAAUCGAAGAAGGGUUUUUUUAUGAGAAACGCAUGCUACAUCAUCACUCAUCUAUAUCAAUUUGUAAUCUCUAAUCUCUAAACCAAAGCUCACCCCAGUGGAUGCACCUUUCUGGAAUAUAAUGGAAGAUCCUGUGGACUGACGGACGUGCUGCCACGCAGGGCACACUCAGUGGGGUACUGGGGGCACUACAGUGGGUUUGCACUGGGAGGUCCACGUCCUUGCACAGGCACCCCUGUGACCAAGCCCUGCACAACUUCUCUGCCCUGUGGCCCAGGCCAGAGAGGAGCCUCCCCAGGCCCGCACCUGCCUCGUGCAGCCCUCACCAGCCCCAGGCAGCACUGGCACAAACGUGCCUCUAGGCGUAAUUUUCAGAUUCCUCUAAGAAGGGCAUACUCCUUAAAGAAGCCACAACAUUUCUUCCACCCGCUGAAGCCAUCGCUGUAACAAUAAGCAACGUGCAUUGAGCACACCCUAGGCACCAGCAGGCACUUUGCAUGUUAACUCAUUUUUUACCUUCACAAUAAAAUGACU